AUGGGGCCAUUUCCUUCCUCUAAUGCGUAUACACAUAUUUUAGUUGAUGUUGAUUACGUUACUAAGUGGGUAGAAGCUAUUCCAACUAGUAGUGCUGAUCAUAACACUUCUAUUAAGAUGCUUAAAGAAGUUAUUUUUCCGAGGUUUGGAGUCCCUAGAUACCUAAUGACUGAUGGUGGUUCACAUUUUAUUCAUGGUGCUUUUUGUAAAAUUCUUGCUAAGUAUGAUGUUAAUCAUAGAAUUGCAUCUCCUUAUCACCCACAGUCUAGUGGUCAAGUAGAACUAAGUAAUAGAGAGCUUAAAUUAAUUUUGCAAAAGACUGUUAAUAGAUCUAGAAAGAAUUGGUCCAAGAAACUUGAUGAUGCAUUAUGGGCCUAUAGAACUGCAUAUAAAAAUCCUAUGGGUAUGUCUCCAUAUAAAAUGGUUUAUGGCAAAGCAUGUCACUUACCUCUCGAACUAGAACAUAAGGCAUAUUGGGCCAUUAAAGAGCUCAAUUAUGAUUUCAAACUUGCUGGUGAGAAGAGGUUAUUUGACAUUAGCUCACUUGAUGAAUGGAGAACUCAAGCCUAUGAGAAUGCCAAACUUUUUAAAGAGAAAGUUAAAAGAUGGCAUGCCAAAAGGAUACAAAAGCGUGAAUUUAAUGUAGGUGAUUAUGUUUUGCUUUUCAACUCUCGUUUAAGAUUUUUUGCAGGAAAACUCCCCUCUAAAUGGGAAGGUCCUUACGUCAUCGAGGAGUUUUAUCGUUCCGGUGCCAUAAAAAUCAACAACUUCGAAGGCACCAGUCCAAGGGUGGUGAACGGUCAAAGAAUCAAACAUUAUAUCUCAGGUAAUCCAAUAAAUGUUGAAAUUAAUGUUAUUGAAACCGUAACCCCGGAGGAAUACAUAAGGGACACUUUCCAGAAUCUUUCAGACUCCGAAAAGGAAUAG
rnacentral:rRNA from 1 species